rnacentral:rRNA from 1 species
CUACGGGUCGCACCAGUAGGGAAUCUUAGACAAUGGGGGAAACCCUGAUCUAGCCAUGCCGCGUGAGUGAUGAAGGCCUUAGGGUUGUAAAGCUCUUUCGCUGGGGAAGAUAAUGACGGUACCCAGUAAAGAAACCCCGGCUAACUCCGUGCCAGCAGCCGCAGUAAUACGGAGGGGGUUAGCGUUGUUCGGAAUUACUGGGCGUAAAGCGCGCGUAGGCGGGCUAUUAAGUCAGGGGUGAAAUCCCGGGGCUCAACCCCGGAACUGCCUUUGAUACUGGUAGUCUUGAGUUCGAGAGAGGUGAGUGGAAUUCCGAGUGUAGAGGUGAAAUUCGUAGAUAUUCGGAGGAACAUCAGUGGCGAAGGCGACUCACUGGCUCGAUACUGACGCUGAGGUGCGAAAGUGUGGGGAGCAAACAGGAUUAGAUACCCGUGUAGUC